AACGAACGCUGGCGGCAUGCCUAACACAUGCAAGUCGAACGAGACCUUCGGGUCUAGUGGCGCACGGGUGCGUAACGCGUGGGAACCUGCCCUUAGGUUCGGAAUAACUCCCCGAAAGGGGUGCUAAUACCGGAUAAUGUCUUCGGACCAAAGAUUUAUCGCCUUUGGAUGGGCCCGCGUUGGAUUAGCUAGUUGGUAGGGUAAAAGCCUACCAAGGCGACGAUCCAUAGCUGGUCUGAGAGGAUGAUCAGCCACACUGGGACUGAGACACGGCCCAGACUCCUACGGGAGGCAGCAGUGGGGAAUAUUGGACAAUGGGCGAAAGCCUGAUCCAGCAUUGCCGCGUGAGUGAUGAAGGCCUUAGGUUUGUAAAGCUCUUUUACCCGGGAUGAUAAUGACAGUACCGGGAGAAUAAGCUCCGGCUAACUCCGU
rnacentral:rRNA from 1 species